GACAACACACCAUGUCAACGUUUAUUUUAUUUAAAAAACAAAAAAACAAAAGAGGUCAGAAGGAGGAAGAAAAAGGAAAACACUCCCAGAGUUUUCAUUUCUCUCUUGGCUUCAUUUCUCUCUUGGUAUCGCCUCUCUUGGUUUCGUUUCUAUCCCACUCUUAUCGUAUUUGAGUCUCAGAUCGGUGUAGCUCCAUCAUUGUUGAUCAAUUGUAGCGACCCACGCCAUCCUUAGCUGCUACCCACAUCGUCGAACUUGGCGGAUGAUGCUCACCGCUACAAGUUCAAGACAUGUGGAAAAAAUUAAGGAGGUCACACCAGAUUUGAGAGAAGUUGAAUAACUAUCUAUUUGUGCACUUUGAGUGUCAUUCUUGAUGCUAUGUACUGGUCCUUGUGUUAAUUUAGGAUACUGUUACUUUCAUGUAUUUUUGCACUUUGGGUGUCAUUCUUGAUGCUAUGUACAAGGAACUUAUGUUAAUUUGGGACACUGUUACUUUGAUGUAAUUGUACACUUUGGGUGUCAUUCUUGAUGCUAUGUACAAGGAACAAUGUGUGGAUUGUCGUGUAAUCUAAGUUAGAUAUAAUUUGAAUGCCCCUUGAUUUAUUUCCAAGUCUUGUGUUUCUGCCUCUUUGUUGGGAAAUAAAAGAGCAGGUUGGUGGAUGGUGAGGCA